rnacentral:lncRNA from 1 species
GACCAGUGAUUAACUAUUGAUGAUACUGAAGACGUUUGUUAAAGCAACUGGAGCAGCAGAAGGGAGAAUGUGGCAAGAAAACUAAUAAUAUUCUGAAGAAGAUACAGCUCUACUAUUCAACUUGCAGAUAUUCCAUACUUGGUGUAUGGGAAUUGCUAAGUCAUGGCCUGAACCAGUGAUUGAGCACCUGGUGAAGGAACACAGCCAGCCGUAGGAGCACAGAUGAAAGCAGUUCACCUGUGCAACCAGAAGAAGUGAAACCAAGUUCUUCCCCUCCCUAAAGAUGAGCUGAGACAAAGGUAGGUUUUCUAGCUGGAGAUCCCUCCUUUUGGAAUAUUUAGUGAGUGUUUAUUCUUGGGACAGGUAAGCAAAAAUUAUUUUCUUUAACUGAAUUACGAUUAUCACCCUUUUUUCUAGUUUUAGAAUUGGUUAUCUGCCAUCGUCUUUCCUAACAUUUUGACUGAACAAGGUCUGAUCAAUCUG